rnacentral:tRNA from 1 species
GCCCGCUUGGCUCAGUGGUAGAGCGUAUCACUAGUAAGCCGCAUGGUUAUGAUAAGGUCAUCAGUUCGAUUCUGAUAGUGGGCA